UACCUGAGGCAGUUUAGGAUGCUAGGAUCUAACAUCUGGUAUGGGAGCCAAGGGAGAUUCCCAGACAGGAUAGCAAAAACAGACUUGUGCAUCAAUAGUAACAUAGGUAUCACCUGCCUGCCUUGUACAUUCAAUCUGACAAGGGCAAGUACACCAGGCAAGCAAGAGUCAUGGUCAGAGUUCAAGGACACGUGAAAACACUCAAGGAAAAUGCAGAGCAGGGUCUGUAACAAGUGCGGCUGGAGAGGGUGAAUGUUCCAAGGGCUAGGCAUAAAGUCUUGAAGAGCCACUCUGCUGGGGUUGUCCAACCCCUGGUAACAAGAAGGGUUAGCGUUAUGAAGAUUUCCCCCCUUCAGUAGAAGAGUGCUUGGGUUUUCCACAGUGUUCUCACAACUGAUCUUAAACACUCCAUCCAUUUCCACAUCCAGAAUGGUCCUGAUUCCCAAAUCUCUCACCCAUUUCCCCCGCCAACCAAUACACUUCUUCACAUCAAGCUACUGUUUGGAUGUUUUGGAGCACUCUGAAUUCUACCUCAGGAAACAAUAUCCUAAGCAAUUUGGGACCGAAAAGGAUUGCUGUCAACAAG